UUAUUUCUCAGGUUGACCUCGGAUCAGGUAGGGAUACCCGCUGAACUUAA
rnacentral:rRNA from 1 species